UUUCCUCGGGUGCCGCAGCGGCGACCCCUCGGCGCGGAUGUCCCCGGGCCCGCGAGCGACGGCGGGCGCAGCCUAACCGGGAAAGUAAGUGUGCGGGUCCGGGGGGCGGGCUCGGGGGUGUGGGGGGGGGCGGCGCGCCGCUCCGGGCCCAGACCCAGACCCAGACCCAGACCCCGGCCCCAGACCCCGGCGCCCGCGCCCGAGCCCAAGCCCGAGCCCGAGCCCGAGCCGGCCGUGCGGGGCGCGGGGGUCGGCGCCUCCCUCCCUCCUGCCGCUCGCUGCGUCCCAGCGCCCCGCGGCCGCCCGGCUUCCCCGCCCCGCCGCGUGCUCCUGCCCGCACUCGCCUGCCGGCGCCCCUCCCCCCGGCGGCGCACAAGUUUCCCCCGCAUUGCUCUCCCCGGAGCCCCCCGCCCCGCGCCGGACGCCGCGCCGGAGCCCCCCGGACGGCUGCCCGCGGCGGGCCCGCGCCCCCCAGCGCUCGGGGCGGCGCGUCGGGCCCUCCGGCCGCUCUCCUGCCUCCCACGCCCGGGUUGCCUGCCCCGGUUGCCCCCGAGCCCCGCGCUCCCGCCGGGCUGCCCGCCGCCCUGGCCGGCGCGCCCCGCGCCCUCGGCGGCGCAGCCCCCGCUCCACCCGUCGCGGCCCCCAGCCCGGGGCUUCCCCGGUGCCGCCCUGCGCCUGCCAGGAGUUGAAGCGGAGCUGCGGCACCCCCAGCCCGGGCGGCUCCGGGGUCCCCCCCCCGCCCCCGGCCGGGAAGCGAGGGCUGGAGCGGCGGGGCCGGGAUCGGCGCGGCUGGGAUCGGCGCGGCUGAGUGCGACAGCGGCGGGCGCGGGCAGGGGAGGCGCCGCGGCCGCCCGGGGCGCAGCGAUAGGCAGGUGUGUGUGUCCGGGGGAAGGGGGGGCGCGCAGCGGGCUCGUCGGCUGGCGACAGAUUGUGCAGGAAUGCGAGGAAUGCACCAGGGGCAUAGUCCGGGCGGCCCGCCGCCGCUGCACUAGCGCCUUCCCGGCCCGGCUCCCGCCGCGCAGCCCGAGGUCGCCGGAGCAUCCUCGGAGCUGGUGA
rnacentral:lncRNA from 1 species